CACCACUGGCAAUGGGCAAAGAGAUACCUUGGUGGUGGUGUUCUUUUAUCAGUCAGGGGCAGAACAGAUGGCAGUCCUCUGUUUAUCCUAGUUUGAUGCCUGCCUUGAUGGCCAAAACUGUCUUAUGCCUAGGACUCAAUC
rnacentral:snoRNA from 1 species